CUCCAGCAAUUCAUGCGACACCUAGCGGCAGUAGGGAGAAACGAAAUACAGAGGUCCAGUCGCCGUGUGUGCCGUGGAGGCUGCUGUCGCGGACGGAAGAAUGAAGCUGCUAGCAAAGAAAAAGCGAACGGCCAAGCAGUUCUGCUGUGUUCCUCGGUGCGUGCCAGCGAGAUGGAAGGACCGCGAUAUUUCCGUUCACGCACUUCCCUCCGAGUGGAAAGGCUGAAGCCGCAGAACCAGGUGGAUCGCUAACCUCCGCUUCGGCAAGGCUGUGACGCUUACAGUGACUGUUUGCUCACGGCAUUUUGCACGGGAUAAUUUCUCCUUACCAGAUGUAGCAUGUCAAAGACAGCGGCUGAAAAAAAUGCAAUACCAACUGAAAACCUGCCAAGGACGUCAUGUUAUGAUGAGAACAAGGAUGCUCAUAUGAAAGAGCUUUCACUGGCAAGACUUCGCUGACGUGUGUAUCGGUCAGCCAGAGUAAGUUAAUUUGACUACAUGGUGCAGCACUUAUAUGCUUAUGGUACAUACACCAUGUCUACAAGCAUGCAAUAGAUGUCAACACCUUUUAAUGCAUUACAGAAUGAAUCAAGCAAAGAAACUGUUGCCUCCCCAUUAGAAGCAAAGGUGUUGCCCCAUGCACCUGUCAGCACGACCACCAUGGUAAAUUGGCUGCCUGCAACUUGUGCACACAUUGCUUCACCACUAAUUCCUUGGGAUUAAACUCUGACAUUGCAGGACGAUCUCCCAUCCCGUCACCGCAACAGCAUGGACCAAAUAAGUGACAAAGGAAAUAUGGAAUGUGCUUGCCAACCUGGCCUCCAGACAUUAAUGGCAGAGUACUCAAGAGAAGAAAAAGACGUGGCAAAUUUCCUACUAGAAAUGGCUUCACGGACAAGGCUUACAGAAAGCAAGGCUGCCCAAGUGACAUCGGGUACUUUUCCACAGAAGUUUGUGAACACGAUAAAUAGUAGCGACGUAAAUACAUUCACAGGCCUGCCAUCAUUCGAUGUUCUGAAUGCUCGUGUGACGUGCUACACAAAAAUUCAUCCACUUUCAGGAUGGCACCAGUUAUGUGUAAAAACAAUUGCAUUGACAUUGGUGAAAUUGAAGCAUAUUUCCACUGCAUUCUUGAGUCACCUUUUUAACUGUUCUCUAACUACAUGUAGCAACAUAAUUGCAGAGACUGCUCAGUUGAUGUGUGAAAUUUUAAAAGUAACUGUGGCUGUGCCACCAAAAGAUGAAUUCCAGUGGCGCGUUUGCAUAUUCGGCAUUAGGUGAUUCACCUGAAGUCGUGCCAUGGCUGGCGAUAUUGCAAGUAGCCUGUAUUGCAUAGAGGCAUUUGUGCGUGUGACCUUGGCUCCAUCAAAGCGUGGCGGCCUUGAGAGUAAGUGCAGUCUUCCGUUUGGAAAUCCAGCAUUUUUUAUGCCACUCAGCCACUUCAUACUUUUCAGACACGGUCGUUGCCAUGUGAUCUACAUGCUGCACUUGUUUGCAUUGGCCAAACCUGCAGACUUCAACUUCAACACACUUUUUGUAAAUUAGCAAUGCACAUUCUUUUGCAACUUGUAUUCUUCAUUGAAGUGCUGAUUUACACUACGCAUUCUGAUGCAAGUUUUCAUCUUAUGGUAUUCCGAGAUAUUUGCAGUUCACUUAUGAUCUGUGUGCAUAGAGUUGUGGUUAUUCUUCAAUGGCGGUUUGUUGUCCCUUUCCUUACUUGUAUUUUUUCACAAAAUAAACCACAUGCACUCAA